GACGAACGCUGGCGGCGUGCUUAACACAUGCAAGUCGAACGGAAAGGCCCUGCUUUUGUGGGGUGCUCGAGUGGCGAACGGGUGAGUAACACGUGAGUAACCUGCCCUUGACUUUGGGAUAACUUCAGGAAACUGGGGCUAAUACCGGAUAGGAGCUCCUGCUGCAUGGUGGGGGUUGGAAAGUUUCGGCGGUUGGGGAUGGACUCGCGGCUUAUCAGCUUGUUGGUGGGGUAGUGGCUUACCAAGGCUUUGACGGGUAGCCGGCCUGAGAGGGUGACCGGCGACAUUGGGACUAAGAGACGGCGCAGUCUCCUACGGGAGGCAGCAGUGGGGAAUAUUGCACAAUGGGCGGAAGCCUGAGGCAGCAACGCCGCGGGCGGGAUGACGGCCUUCGGGUUGUAAACCGCUUGCGCCUGUGACGAAGCGUGAGUGACGGUAAUGGGUAAAGAAGCACCGGCUAACUACGUG
rnacentral:rRNA from 1 species